UACAGAGACUGCAAGCGUUAUUCGGAUUCACUGGGCGUAAAGGGUGCGCAGGCGGCCGUGUGUGUCAGGUGUGAAAGCCCGGACUUAACUCCGGAAUUGCGCCUGAAAACUACAUGGCUAGAGCAUUGGAGAGGGUAGCGGGAUUCACGGUGUAGCAGUGAAAUGCGUAGAUAUCGAAGAGGAACACCUGCGGCGAAGGCGGGUUGCUGGGCUGAUACUGACGCUGAGGCGCGAAAGCCAGGGGAGCGAACGGG
rnacentral:rRNA from 1 species